AGAUAAAUGACGGUGCGGAUAUUUAAAGAGGAUUUAUAUUACAAAACUGUUUUUGUCGUUCAUGGCGUACAAAAUGUUACGCAUGCUGAACUCUGUAUAAAGGUACAGUGAAAAUUAAAAACGGAGUCUUUGGCGAAAUUACGGAUUUUCAUGCGUUGGUGGGCAAUAGAGGAGUGACGGACAGCUUACUGCUGUGAGGCGCAACACACAGCAAACACUUCAGCACGUCAAGGGCCUGACUAGCUCCUAACUCAAUAAUAUGCUAACAGCUCUGACCGUCUUCAAGUGCCAUGCGACUCUGCCUCCGGUGAACAGUGUUGGACUGACUCUUCAAUACGUUCAGACUUGGAGGCGGAGCUUCCAAUCCACGAUGAAAUUAAUUCAGAAGAACGAGACGGCGCAAGUGACGUCAGAGAGGACGCUGGUGUCUGCUGGCAGGGGGCUGAUUAUGAAGGCAUUAUGUUCUUCCGGAGCAUUGGUGUCCCCCUAGAAGUCUACACGGCGAUGAAAACCCAGAAGAUCAGCAUCAACAAGGUAGUUUACGUCUGUCCCUAAAUGUCACUCGUUUUAUUUAAACUCGGGAUUGUGUUAGUUCUGGUCAGCGUAGUCACUAAGCUACGAGGUGGACAAGCGGGUUUCGAUUCCCGUCAAGGUCAAGGCGUUUUGCCUUCACCACGCCCAGACCGACACGAGUACCGGGAGCGUUAUCCCAGGGGUUAAAGCGGCCGGGGUUUGAAGCUGACAACGCACCUCUACUCCCCAAUCGUAUUCGUGACGCGGCGCAUAACUGAACACAGAGACAAGUUUAACUUCAUUUAAUGCAUUUGCGUUACGAUAUAGACCAGGUAUUGAAUCGUCGGAUUCCAUGAAAGGCGGGGAAUUUAUUGAUCAGUUGAGUGACUGUCGGUGUCUGAAGAACGACUGUGCUGCUGCUAGAUGUUGCUUAGUCGAAGCUGAAGACGACGUGUCAGCUUAUCACAGUUUUUCCGUAGUCACACAGGUUUUAGGAACACGUUUAUGGUCCAUCCUGUACAAUUGUGGGUCACUUAACUCGGCCACACAGUACUCCCGAACGCGACAUGACUAGACUUUGUGGUCCGGGCGGAGACGCCAGGAAGAUCAUUGCGUUGUGAGUAUUUAAGAGACAGGGUCUUGCCGAGUCGGCUGGCACACGUGCCAUUGACAAAACAGACCACAGGACCACACACGUGCAUGCUUUUAUUUGUGUUAUUUGAAACGAGAUACACUAGAUGAGGGCAGGGAAUGUGACAUUUAUAUAGAAUACCCCCCGAGAUUCCCCGCGCCCUACUUGCAGCCAUGUUAUGUUCUCGUAUCUCCCUACCUGCUCCUUUCCAUUAACCCAGUGUUUGUGACCUGGUUCCUGGGAUAAAUCAGUGAGCGCGGGUGUCGUUUUAAGGUCAGAGUGGUGGUUAUUCAAUCCCUGUACCUGGUGGGUGUAUGGGUCAUUGCAGUUUAGAUGGAAUACGACAAAAUUCUGGAUUGAUCUGUGUAAGACAAAGUUUACAGGAAGUAGUCACUGCGGACGGAAAUGCAGUGCCAGGUUUUCAUCAUUUUACGUCAGUCAAAAUUAAGGAGCUCCAACACGCAGGGAUUUUAUACGAACGUCGAAGGCUUCUUCUCAGAUAGUCACAGAACCAUCCUCAUGUAAACGGAAGUUUCGUUACUGUCUUCCGUAAAACUGAGUUUGUCCUUUGUUUCUCGCCUGACACUUUUUGAAACAGUCGUGUUCCUUAUGGAAAAUAUUUAUUAGCCAGACCCACAUUUAGUCAUUAAAGUGAAAGGUCACCCUUUGUCGGCUGUCCACGACUGCUUAGUCAACAUACUCGUUACCAUCGUUUUCGGUGGGCCGUAUCCUGAGUUUGUAAAUUAAGGACUCGCCGUGUCUUGAGAACAAGGGACCCACGUAUGUGGUCCAGAAGUUAAUAUUCAAAGAUUUUUGAUAUUCCGAAUCAACAAAUGAAAUAAAAUGAUAUUUUUAUGGGAA